UAUUUUUUCUUGUUAAUUUGCGCAUCAUCAAUGUCUAUCCAUUCAUUAAACAUUUAAUUAAUGGUUCCUAAAGUGCAAAUAUAUUUAUCAAUCUUUUCUUUCAAUAAAUUAACAGAAACAAAAUCUUCGUGUACAGGAGGUAAUUGAAAAAGAUCUUCAAAUAAAAGAAUUUGUUUUUGACCAAACCAGCCAUCAUUACAUUCAGUAGUGUCAUAUAUUUUGGAUAAUCGAAGAUAAGUAUGAGGAAUAUAAGCAUUCAACAGAUAAUUGGAACAAUCUGUGAAUUGUCAAACCAUUUAUAUUAAAUGCUGCAAUACCU